rnacentral:rRNA from 1 species
UACGGAGGGUGCGAGCGUUUGUCCGGAAUCACUGGGCGUAAAGGGCGCGUAGGCGGCGCGGGAAGUCAUCGGUGAAAGUUCAGGGCUCAACUCUGAAUCGGCCGGUGAUACUCUCGUGCUCGAGCACUGUAGAGGCAGGUGGAAUUCCGGGUGUAGCGGUGGAAUGCGUAGAGAUCCGGAAGAACACCGGGUGGCGAAGGCGGCCCUGCUGGGCAGUAGCUGACGCUGAUGCGCGACAGCGUGGGGAGCAAACAGG